CUCAGUGGCCCAGGGAAAUCUGCUCUGUCCAGUCCAAUAGACAGAGAGGGGAAUGAAUAGCUGCUGAAUUAUCCAAAUUCACACUAUUUGCCUGACUCCAGUAUCCUAUUUCUUAAUUGACUCUAACUCAGAUGGAGAAAAGAGAUAUGACUAGUUAUUAUAGAAAUCCAUCUGAACCCCUUGCACAGAAGAGUGAGGCAUGGGAGCUGAAGGCUGACUUAGAUAAAAGGGACUGGGCAGGUGCAAUUGCUUCCCACUGAGAGGCCAAGGAGUUGGAGUUGGGGACCAAGACAUCAGUUUGCAAAGCAAGACUCUGAGACUCUUAGAGGAACUUAAAAGACUGGAAGAGAGGAGAUGGCAACAGGACAUUAAGCUUCACCUCCAGGAACUCUUCCUGCAUCAGACCAGUUUAGAAAAACAAGGAAAUAGGUCUCAGCUGGCCUUCUCCAUUGCAAAACCUGUGAAAUUGAAAUUCAUACCCUUCUGCCCUGUCUGCCUAUAGGAACCCAGAAGUAGAAUCCUGUUUUUAUUAAUGAAGUGAUACAACAUGGCCUCAUAUCACAUCCCUCUUGGCAAAGCCAUAUUUCUAUAGAGGGAGACGGUGUGGUUUUGCAAAAGGAGCACAGGACUGAGGCAGAUAUGGGUUCAAAUGCUAGCUUAGUGUAUACAGCACCCUUGACAUAAGUAACUCCAUCUUAGAAAAAGACUCCAUCUUACAUUUCAAAAGCCAUGAUGCCAAUAGGGACUGGAUGUUUGCCUAAUCAAUAGAGAUUACACCCAACUAGAUAAGGACAUGACCAGUCACAUUCUUUACUAUCAAUUUAUACCAGCGAACUCAAGAGCUAUAAAAUGAAUAGAACUUCACCAGCUCAAGGUGGCUGCCUUAAUAGACACUGUCUUGCUGUCACUCAGCACCUCAGCACCCAGCAACUGCUGCUGAAGUCUCUGCCCAAAUCAAGGACUCUUCCUUGCAAGACGUUGACUCCCAUCCAGAUCAGCCUGGGACACUCUCUGUCUGUACACGUCACUCUCCUUGGACUGGUUUAUUAACCCCAUUUUAAAUUCCCUUGUGAUGGUUAAUAUUGAGUGUCAACUUGAUUGGAUUGAAGGAUGCAAAGUAUUGUUCCUGGGUGUGUCUGUGACUGUGUUACCAAAGGAGAUUAACAUUUGAGUCAGUGGACUGGGAGAGGCAGACCUACCCUCAAUCUGGGUGGGCACCAUCUAAUCAGCUGCCAGUGAUGCUAGAAUAAAGCAGGUAGCAGAAGAUGGAAGAGCAGACUUGCUGAGUCUUCCAGCCUUCAUCUUUCUCCCAUGCUGGAUGCUUCCUGCCCUUGAACAUCAGACUCCAAGUUCUUCAGUUUUUGGACUCUUGGACUUACACCAGUGGUUUGCCAGGGGCUCUCAGGCCUUUGGCCACAGACUGAAGCCUGCACUGUUGGCUUCCCCAGUUUUGAGGUUUGGGGACCCAGACUGAUCCACCACUGACUUCCUUGCUCCUCAACUUGCAGAUAGCCUAUUGUGGGACUUUAACUUGUGAUUGCGUGAGCCAAUUCUCCUUAAUAAACUCCCUUUCAUAUAUACAUAUAUCCUGUUAGUUCUGUCCCUCUGGAGAACCCUGACUAAUACACCCCUCUUCUCUUGAUGUUAAAUGUUACUCUGUUUGAUGUAAUCUGUAACAUUUAUAUAUUGAGUAUACUACUAUGUAUGGUUUUGCAAUUUUGACUGACCUAUGCUGUGGCUUGAGCCUGUGUGCCAUGUCUCUGACUACCAAGCAAAUGGAUAGUACUAAGAAUUUCCUUCUUGGGAACUCCAUGUAGCUUGUGGCUUUUAUGGUUGAAUAAGCAUCAAUAAAUCAGACCUUAUGAAAAGACACAAACAUGCAUGGGCCUGGUUAUAUCUUAUCUUGUGCAGCUCAUGACACUUAGUUUCUUAGUAGUUGGCUGAACUUGGAUAUGUUACUUUCUCUCUAUGAGCCUUAGCUUUUUUAAAUAUGCAAAGUGGGGCUAAUAAUACCCACAUCUUAUGGCAAGGAUGCUUAAACAUUAGCAUGUGUCAGAAUUACCUUGGCUUGUUAAAGCACAGAUUGCUAGACCCCAUCCCCAUCUGAUUCAGUGGGUCUGUGAUGGGGUCAGGGAAUUUGCAUUUCUAACAUGUUCCCUGGUGCUGCACUGGGAACCACAUUUUGAGAACCACGGUUUUAUGGUAUUUGUGAGUUUUUCCCUUUGUUUUCUUUCGUUGAGGUUGAACAGUUCGUAUAUCUUAAGCAUAUAGCUUGAUGAAUGUUUGCAUUCGUGUGCACCCAUGUAGGCACCAACCAUCUCAACUGAGAUCCAGGCUACAGUUGACACUUGAAUGACAUGGAUUUUAAUAGUGUGAGUCCACUUAUAGGCAUAUUUUUUUCAACCAAAUGCAGAUCAGAAAUACAAUAUUGGUGGGAUGCAAAACCCACUUAUAAAGAGGGCCAACUUUUUGUAUCUGCAGGUUCCAAAAGGCUAGCUAUGGGACUUGAGUAUGUGUGGAUGUGGGUAUCUUCAGGUGUGGCCCUGGAACCAAUCUCUGCAUGUACUGAGAGACAACUGUAUUUUCAGCACCCUAUAGAAUUUCUUGUGCCCCUUCCCAAAGAUAACCACAAUUCUGCUCUAUAUCACCAUCUAUGGACCUUGCUUGUUUUUGGAUUUCUAUAAAUAAAA
rnacentral:lncRNA from 10 species